AUUAAUUGAAUGUAUAGUUAGCAGACAUAAUUUUAAAAACAAUUUUUUUCUUUUCAAAUCAACGUGAAAUCAUUUGGGAAACACGUCUGUAAUGUUUUAAACAUUUGGGAAAUAAUGAUUUUAUCUGAAAAUCAAGUUACAUGUCACAUGUGCGAUAGCUGGACAGUUUUACCAUGGUUUGUGAGUCAUCCAAUCACAGCUGAGAAUGUGGAAAGUGCUGCUAAAGCAUAAAAGAAACGUUCACUUUCCUAAAAUGGAUUCAUUAUUAGCGCUAAUUGUUGCAUUUUCUUGGUUAUUAUGCUACAUGUAAUGCUGAAAGCAGCAUAUAUGCUCAGCAAAGUCCAACCCCACGUCCGUGCAAAAUAACGUGAGCCACGUGCUGAGCGGGCAACAUCUUAGGUGGCUAACGGGGCAAUGGCAAAUCCUCCUGGAGUAAAAAUGAAAAAUAUCUAAGGGCGAAAUUGGAUAUCGGCUUACUAGCUAUGAUUUUAAGUUCUGUCGAGACUGGAAAUGACACAGAGGCAAUCCGCCCAUUUAUAGAGAAUAUCCAUCAAACUCUGUCCGAAUUUGUUAGUAUUUGUCCCUUUGAAGCAGC